rnacentral:misc_RNA from 1 species
GUGAAUCAUCAAAUCUUUGAACGCAAAUUGCACUCUCUUCGGAGAGUAUGCCUGUUUGAGGGUCAGCCUAAAAAAAAUCGACAUAGUUGCUGUUUCGCGGUGACAUUCGUCGGAAAUUGGGUCAUCUUAAACCUUUUGGUUUUAAGCGGCUUAAAAUUUUCUUUAUGAUUCCACGAACGUUUCUAACAUUUACUUCUUACGUUUAAUGUAUCGUCUUUUAUUAGUCGUCGCCAUUGCAACAG